rnacentral:rRNA from 1 species
ACGAACGCUGGCGGCGUACCUAACACAUGCAAGUCGAGCGCGAAAAGAGCAAUCUGAGUAGAGCGGCGCACGGGUGCGUAACACGUGGGUAAUCUGCCUCAAGGUCUGGGAUAACCUUCCGAAAGGUUGGCUAAUACCAGUUAAGCUCACGGUGACUUCGGUCGCUGAGAGAAAAGGGGCCCGAAAGGGUCUCGCCAUGAGAUGAGCCCGCGGCCCAUCAGCUAGUUGGCGGGGUAACGGCCCACCAAGGCUACGACGGGUAGCUGGUCUGAGAGGACGAUCAGCCACACUGGAACUGAGACACGGUCCAGACUCCUACGGGAGGCAGCAGUGGGGAAUUUUGCACAAUGGGCGAAAGCCUGAUGCAGCAACGCCGCGUGUGUGAUGAAGGUCUUCGGAU